GGGCAGGUGGCGGAAUUGGCAGACGCGCAAGGUUUAGGACCUUGUGGCUUUUAGCCGUGAGGGUUCGAAUCCCUCCCUGCCCA
rnacentral:tRNA from 1 species